rnacentral:rRNA from 1 species
CCUACGGGCGGCAGCAGUGAGGAAUAUUGGUCAAUGGACGAGAGUCUGAACCAGCCAAGUAGCGUGAAGGAUGGCUGCCCUAUGGGUUGUAAACUUCUUUUAUAUGGGAAUAAAAUGUUCCACGUGUGGGAUUUUGUAUGUACCAUAUGAAUAAGGAUCGGCUAACUCCGUGCCAGCAGCCGCGGUAAUACGGAGGAUCCGAGCGUUAUCCGGAUUUAUUGGGUUUAAAGGGAGCGUAGGUGGAUUGUUAAGUCAGUUGUGAAAGUUUGCGGCUCAACCGUAAAAUUGCAGUUGAAACUGGCAGUCUUGAGUACAGUAGAGGUGGGCGGAAUUCGUGGUGUAGCGGUGAAAUGCUUAGAUAUCACGAAGAACUCCGAUUGCGAAGGCAGUUCACUGGACUGCAACUGACACUGAGGCUCGAAAGUGUGGGUAUCAAACAGGAUUAGAUACCCGGGUAGUC